rnacentral:sRNA from 1 species
GUCUUCAGCCCUUUUCAAAAGCUUGUCCUAUAAUACUUUGUGCUGGGCAAGAGGGAUCUAAGGGAAGAAGGAGAAAGGGCCAACCCCUGAAGAAGCAAUACAGAAACUGAAGGAGACAGAGAAGAUACUGAUCAAGAAACAGGAAUUUUUGGAGCAGAAGAUUCAACAGGAGCUACAAACAGCCAAGAAGUAUGGGACCAAGAAUAAGAGAGCUGCCCUACAGGCUUUGCGGAGGAAGAAAAGAUUCGAACAGCAGCUGGCACAAACUGAUGGGACAUUAUCCACCCUGGAGUUUCAGCGUGAGGCCAUUGAGAAUGCCACUACCAAUGCAGAAGUCCUUCGUACCAUGGAGCUUGCUGCCCAAAGCAUGAAGAAGGCCUACCAGGACAUGUGGGGACAUUGACAAGGUAGAUGAACUGAUGACUGACAUCACGGAACAACAGGAGUUGGCCCAGCAGAUCUCAGAUGCCAUUUCUCGGCCUAUGGGCUUUGGAGAUGAUGUGGAUGAGGAUGAACUGCUGGAGGAGCUAGAGGAGCUGGAGCAGGAGGAAUUGGCCCAGGAGUUGUUAAAUGUGGGCGACAAGGAGGAAGAACCCCCAGUCAAAUUGCCUAGUGUACCUUCUGCUCAUCUGCCGGCAGGGCCAGCUCCCAAAGCGGAUGAAGAUGAAGAAGCACUAAAGCAGUUGGCUGAGUGGGUAUCCUGAUAAAUCUGGGCUUGUCUUCCUAAUGCUACCUUUGUUGGUCCUUUUUUCCUGAAGUGCCAAGUGCUGAGCUAAAGGAGGAUAACUUUUUGGGGAAGUCAUGCUGAGGGUGGUAGUGUGACCCUGCCUGAAAAAAGGGUCUCUCA